CUAACACAUGCAAGUCGAGCGGUAGCACAGAGAGCUUGCUCUCGGGUGACGAGCGGCGGACGGGUGAGUAAUGUCUGGGAAACUGCCUGAUGGAGGGGGAUAACUACUGGAAACGGUAGCUAAUACCGCAUAACGUCGCAAGACCAAAGUGGGGGACCUUCGGGCCUCAUGCCAUCAGAUGUGCCCAGAUGGGAUUAGCUAGUAGGUGGGGUAACGGCUCACCUAGGCGACGAUCCCUAGCUGGUCUGAGAGGAUGACCAGCCACACUGGAACUGAGACACGGUCCAGACUCCUACGGGAGGCAGCAGUGGGGAAUAUUGCACAAUGGGCGCAAGCCUGAUGCAGCCAUGCCGCGUGUGUGAAGAAGGCCUUCGGGUUGUAAAGCACUUUCAGCGGGGAGGAAGGCGAUAAGGUUAAUAACCUUGUCGAUUGACGUUACCCGCAGAAGAAGCACCGGCUAACUCCGUGCCAGCAGCCGCGGUAAUACGGAGGGUGCAAGCGUUAAUCGGAAUUACUGGGCGUAAAGCGCACGCAGGCGGUCUGUCAAGUCGGAUGUGAAAUCCCCGGGCUCAACCUGGGAACUGCAUUCGAAACUGGCAGGCUAGAGUCUUGUAGAGGGGGGUAGAAUUCCAGGUGUAGCGGUGAAAUGCGUAGAGAUCUGGAGGAAUACCGGUGGCGAAGGCGGCCCCCUGGACAAAGACUGACGCUCAGGUGCGAAAGCGUGGGGAGCAAACAGGAUUAGAUACCCUGGUAGUCCACGCCGUAAACGAUGUCGAUUUGGAGGUUGUGCCCUUGAGGCGUGGCUUCCGGAGCUAACGCGUUAAAUCGACCGCCUGGGGAGUACGGCCGCAAGGUUAAAACUCAAAUGAAUUGACGGGGGCCCGCACAAGCGGUGGAGCAUGUGGUUUAAUUCGAUGCAACGCGAAGAACCUUACCUGGUCUUGACAUCCACAGAACUUAGCAGAGAUGCUUUGGUGCCUUCGGGAACUGUGAGACAGGUGCUGCAUGGCUGUCGUCAGCUCGUGUUGUGAAAUGUUGGGUUAAGUCCCGCAACGAGCGCAACCCUUAUCCUUUGUUGCCAGCGGUUCGGCCGGGAACUCAAAGGAGACUGCCAGUGAUAAACUGGAGGAAGGUGGGGAUGACGUCAAGUCAUCAUGGCCCUUACGACCAGGGCUACACACGUGCUACAAUGGCAUAUACAAAGAGAAGCGACCUCGCGAGAGCAAGCGGACCUCAUAAAGUAUGUCGUAGUCCGGAUUGGAGUCUGCAACUCGACUCCAUGAAGUCGGAAUCGCUAGUAAUCGUAGAUCAGAAUGCUACGGUGAAUACGUUCCCGGGCCUUGUACACACCGCCCGUCACACCAUGGGAGUGGGUUGCAAAAGAAGUAGGUAGCUUAACCUUCGGGAGGGCGCUUACCAC
rnacentral:rRNA from 1 species